rnacentral:rRNA from 2 species
GACGAACGCUGGCGGCGUGCUUAACACAUGCAAGUCGAACGAUGAAAGUCGUUUUGAUAUCUUCGGAUUGAUAAACUUCUGGAUUAGUGGCGGACGGGUGAGUAACGCGUGAGCAAUCUGCCUUACACAAAGGGAUAGCCUCGGGAAACCGGGAUUAAUACCAUAUGAUAUCUCAACUUCGCAUGAAGAUGAGAUUAAAGAAUUUCGGUGUAAGAUGAGCUCGCGUCCCAUUAAUUAGUUGGUGAGGGUAACGGCCCACCAAGAUAGCGAUGGGUAGCCGAUCUAAGAGGAUGACCGGCCACAUUGGAACUGAGAAACGGUCCAAACUCCUACGGGAGGCAGCAGUGGGGAAUAUUGCACAAUGGGGGAAACCCUGAUGCAGCGACGCCGCGUGAGCGAUGAAGGCUUUCGAGUCGUAAAGCUCUGUCCUAUGGGAAGAUAAUGACGGUACCAUAGAAGAAAGCCCCGGCUAAUUACGUGCCAGCAGCCGCGGUAA